UGCCCAGCUGUUCACCAGAGUCUACGGGAUU
rnacentral:piRNA from 1 species